GAAAAUUGCCAUCCACAAUUCAUAGCAAUUCCAGAGAAGUUAACACUGCUGGAAGGAGACCACUGAUAUGUCAUUCAGAGUGAAGUUUCCGCAACAUUCUCACAUACAUGACCUCACGUGUAUGGAAGAAUUCCCAGCAUUUCAGUGUCAAUUUUCAUCAUUCAGAACUGCUGGUCUAGGAGGGGUUGCAUAAGAUGACCAGGACAUCCUUGGGGCAGGAGGCACCAUGAGGACAUUGCUGUCCACAAGGUGAUAUCUCCCAUGUGCCAUCCUCAGUGCAAGGGCUAACUGUGACUGAAAGGCAGAUAUCAACUUCUGACGGAGCCUGAAGAAAUUUAUUUGGGGGUUCCCAAGACUUCAUCAAAUAAUCAGAUGAAAGAGAAGCAGGCUUCAAAACAGAUAAUGAAUUUCUCCUAACUCGUCUGGAGACCGAAGAGCCAUAAUUCUGAUUGAUCAGUUAUGGUCUGCCUCGGAGAGGCACCAGAUGUGAUGCAGAUUUUAAAUAGAUGCUGCUACUGUCAACAUUCAUUCGCUCCCUCGUGGUGUAACAAAGUGAAGUCCAUCUGUCUGGAGCUGUGUACUUUUUUUUACUGUUGAGGAAAUUAAAGCACAGGAAGGUUAGAAGCCAACUCCAUCCAAGUUGGGCAGCUGAAGCCUACUUCAGUACGUGAAACAGUGAGUAGUUCUGAUUUCAAUUCAGAGUUUGUGCUGUUGGGAAAAGUAUAUAUCAGUGAAAGCAUCCUUCACAUCUCUAAAAGAAAACUUGGACACUGCUCCAUUUGGGCACUUGUUUACACUCACAAAUUCUGGUGCUGGCCUGUGCUGAUGUCUGCUAAGCCUGAGAAAUCAAGGGCACUGCGAGUAAAGCGGAGAGCACGCACACACGGUGGCCAGCCCGAGAAGAUCAGGGUGAAAGGAACUGGGACUGGAUUCCCCCAUCUUUCCACAGGUAUUUCUGCCCAUUGCUGGUACAGAAGAACAUAGGGAUUUUCUUGCAGGAGGUGCAGUGGUGUGCAUCGUGGAAGGAACAGCAGGCAAGAAAAUGUGACACCAUCAUUGCAAUACUGAAGAUGCAAUAUUCAUAAUACAGAGGAGAAAAUGAAGGCAAAGAAGGUAUGGCAGAUGUGAGUACACACUGAAGCAUAAGAGAAACUGUAAGAUGGAAGGCAGAAGUCUGAAACCAGAUUACCACCUACUCUGAGGCCGAAUUUGCAGUUAUGUUGGCUGCACACAAACCCUGCUUAAAUCAGAAGGAUCAGAAGAUGAGUAGAAAUAGAUCUUCACAAGCUUGGUGAGGGGGAAAGGGUCUGGGCUACAUAUAUCUUUAUUUACUAAAAAAUAAAAUGAAAUUAAGCAUUCUUGUUUUGGUCAUUCAUUGAAUUAUAGAAUUGUUAAGUUUGGAAAAGACCUCUAAC
ensembl:lncRNA